rnacentral:tRNA from 1 species
GGAGCUGUGGCUCACUGGUAGAGCACAUGCUUUGCAUGCAGAAGUUUCCAAGUUCAAACCCUGGCAUCUCCA